rnacentral:rRNA from 1 species
CGCCGGCGCAUAGUUUUAUUUGCAAGUCGAGCGGUAGCAAGAGAGCUUGCUCUCGGGUGACGAGCGGCGGACGGGUGAGUAAUGUCUGGGAAACUGCCUGAUGGAGGGGGAUAACUACUGGAAACGGUAGCUAAUACCGCAUAAUGUCGCAAGACCAAAGUGGGGGACCUUCGGGCCUCAUGCCAUCAGAUGUGCCCAGAUGGGAUUAGCUAGUAGGUGGGGUAACGGCUCACCUAGGCGACGAUCCCUAGCUGGUCUGAGAGGAUGACCAGCCACACUGGAACUGAGACACGGUCCAGACUCCUACGGGAGGCAGCAGUGGGGAAUAUUGCACAAUGGGCGCAAGCCUGAUGCAGCCAUGCCGCGUGUGUGAAGAAGGCCUUCGGGUUGUAAAGCACUUUCAGCGGGGAGGAAGGCGUUAAGGUUAAUAACCUUGGCGAUUGACGUUACCCGCAGAAGAAGCACCGGCUAACUCCGUGCCAGCAGCCGCGGUAAUACGGAGGGUGCAAGCGUUAAUCGGAAUUACUGGGCGUAAAGCGCACGCAGGCGGUCUGUCAAGUCGGAUGUGAAAUCCCCGGGCUCAACCUGGGAACUGCAUUCGAAACUGGCAGGCUAGAGUCUUGUAGAGGGGGGUAGAAUUCCAGGUGUAGCGCAGAAAUGCGUAGAGAUCU